GAUGAACGCUGGCGGCGUGCCUAAUACAUGCAAGUCGAGCGAACAGACGAGGAGCUUGCUCCUUUGACGUUAGCGGCGGACGGGUGAGUAACACGUAGGUAACCUACCUAUAAGACUGGGAUAACUUCGGGAAACCGGAGCUAAUACCGGAUAAUAUUUCGAACCGCAUGGUUCGAUAGUGAAAGAUGGCUUUGCUAUCACUUAUAGAUGGACCUGCGCCGUAUUAGCUAGUUGGUAAGGUAACGGCUUACCAAGGCAACGAUACGUAGCCGACCUGAGAGGAUGAUCGGCCACACUGGAACUGAGACACGGUCCAGACUCCUACGGGAGGCAGCAGUAGGGAAUAUUCCGCAAUGGGCGAAAGCCUGACGGAGCAACGCCGCGUGAGUGAUGAAGGUCUUCGGAUCGUAAAACUCUGUUAUUAGGGAAGAACAAACGUGUAAGUAACUGUGCACGUCUUGACGGUACCUAAUCAGAAAGCCACGGCUAACUACGUG
rnacentral:rRNA from 1 species